rnacentral:lncRNA from 1 species
GUUGUGGGUGGUGCAGUUGUCGUUGCGGCUGGUGUAGCAUUUGUAGUCAUUGAAACAGUUGUUGGUGUGGUUGGGGCAGCUGUAGUUAAGGUGGAGGCAGUAGUUAUGGUGUGGGUGGCUGUAGUUGUGGUUUGGCUAACUGUAGUUGUGGUUGGAGAAGCUGUAGUUGUAGCAGCAGUAGUAGUUUUGCCAGCUGUUGUGGUAGCUUGGGCAGCUUUAGUUGUUGUUAGAGAAGCUUUAAUGGUAGCUUGAGCAGCUUUUAUGGGGGAUGGAGUAGCCUUUGUGUGGGUUGCAGCAGUUGUUAUGGUGGUUGGUUUUUCUUGAGUUGUGGCCUGGCCAGCUUUACCCGUAGUUGUAGUUGAAGUUGUCGUAGUUACGGCAGUCGCACUUGUUUGUUGGGCAGCUGUUGUUUUUCUCGUUGUGAUAGAUGUUGCUAUUAUUGUUGUUGUUGCUGAGGAGACUUUUUCAAAGUGAAACAGGAAAAAUAAUUAUUUGAAUUAGAAUUGUAGUAUUAACAAUAUUCAACCUAUGUUUAAUUUUUCCUUACAUCAUUCAUAUUAGAGGUCACAUUUUUUUCUGAAUUUGAUAUGUCUCAAGCAGUCAUUUUUUGUAUUUUUUUUACCUCAGUAGAGGUAAAGUAAAUUUCAACCUGGUGCUUCUGAAGAGUGAUUCACUUAUUAUAAACAAAAUAUCUGAGGUCAUCAUAUUAAUGUUUGAUGACGAUUUUUGUGCAUGCUCUUUUUUUUGCCUUUUCCCUGAACAUAAUCCAUGGAUAUUAUUCAUAACUGCUUUUUCAAAGAAAGAUAAACAGUAUAUCAAAUAAAUUAGUUUUUUUUUAAUUUCAUGUCACCCAUUUCAUUGAUUUGACUCAGCUAACUAAAAGGGCCUCAAAUCUCAUCAACCAAGCUUUAUUAUUUGUAUGGAUUUGUGGUUAGAAACCAUGCCCUCUGUGAAAGAGUUUUCAGACCACAAAGCAGGAAGCCAUGGGUUCAUCUAUGGUCUCCGCCUAUCACCCCCAACCUCCUCCUUGUGUUUUUCUCUUUCCACUGUCCCAUCCUCAGACAACCCAAUAGACAAGUCUUUAGAAAAAAUGCCGUUCUCUUACCAGCAAGAAUCACAAAAAGUGAUGUGAUCCCUCUGACAGCCAUCUUGAAGGUCUAUCUAAAACGAUGGAAAAAAAUGAAUCAAAGAAAAAUGAUGUUUGUACCAAAGUUAUUCAUCACUUAAAUAAGUAAUAAUGAUAUAACAAAAUGGGAGAUAGAUGAACAAAUAAUAGGCCUACUAGACACUAUUUAAGUGUGAAUUCAUUGGUAUUUUGCUUUUGGACACUUUCAUUUAGAAAAUGAUCAAACAAAUGUUUUGGGUAUAAACUUUUGAUUAUCCAAAUGACUGAACUCAUUAAAGCUUUAAAAUACAUUAAAGUACUGCAAAACUUAGCAUGUAUUUGUCCCUUAGCCUCUUUGAAUUUUUUUAGAUAUAAACUUCUCAACAAGUUGAUAUUUAGACAUUUCAAAGGUAACAUAAAAACAAACAAAAAGUGUCUUUAUGGCAUUUAGAACUUAAGUAAGAGGGGGUUAAGUCAUCAUGGAUGACUAAAUUUGAAUUUCUAAUUUUUAUUGUCUGAUAAACAGAACAUUUUUAAUGAAGUUCAUACAAGUUAGAGAAUAGAACAGUAAAGACAAAAGUAAAGAAAGGAGGCAACACAGGAUCUCAGGUCACAUAUUAUUGCCUGACAAUUUAAACUUUUUUUUAUAUCUAAAAACAUAAAUCUUUUCAUCACUCUCUGAAAACCUGUUUGUAUCUUUUUCUGUCUUUAGUUACUUAUGACUUGAGAUUUAUUUGCAUGUAAAAUCACACUUCAUACAUUAAGUAAGGUACACUCAGGCUUGGAUAGUUGUGGCAUCUGUUAAACAGCUUAUAGAUGUAUCAGGGUCUGUAAUAAAUCAUAUAUUUUAGUCCAUUCUCAUGUUCACAAGCAACAA